AUCAACUUUCGAUGGUAGGAUAGAGGCCUACCAUGGUGGUAACGGGUAACGGGGUGUUAGGGCACGACACCGGAGAGGGAGCCUGAGAAACGGCUACCACAUCCAAGGAUGGCAGCAGGCGCGCAAAUUACCCAAUCCCGACACGGGGAGGUAGUGACAAUAAAUAACAAUACAGGGUUCUUUGAAUCUCGUAAUUGGAAUGAGUACAAUUUAAAUCUCUUAACGAGGAACAAUUGGAGGGCAAGUCUGGUGCCAGCAGCCGCGGUAAUUCCAGCUCCAAUAGCGUAUAUUAAAGUUGUUGCAGUUAAAAAGCUCGUAGUUGAAUUUCGGGGUUUAUCCGUUGGUCGGGCUUUUUGGUCUGUACUGGCGUGAUGGAUUCCUACCUUCUGAAUAACCGGCAUGCCAUUAAUUUGGUGCGCCGGGGAAGCAGGACUGUUACCUUGAAAAAAUUAGAGUGCUUAAAGCAGGCUUAUGCCUGAAUACAUUAGCAUGGAAUAAUGAAAUAGGACGCAUGGUUCUAUUUUGUUGGUUUCUAGGAUCACCGUAAUGAUUAAUAGGGAUAGUUGGGGGCAUUAGUAUUCAAUUGUCAGAGGUGAAAUUCUUGGAUUUAUUGAAGACUAACUUCUGCGAAAGCAUUUGCCAAGGAUGUUUUCAUUAAUCAAGAACGAAAGUUAGGGGAUCGAAGACGAUCAGAUACCGUCGUAGUCUUAACCAUAAACUAUGCCGACUAGGGAUCGGAUGAUGUUAAUUUUUUAAUGACUCAUUCGGCGCCUUACGGGAAACCAAAGUGUUUGGGUUC
rnacentral:rRNA from 1 species